rnacentral:rRNA from 1 species
UACGUAGGCAGCGAGCGUUGUUCGGAGUUACUGGGCGUAAAGGGUGCGUAGGCGGUUUUCCAAGUUUGGUGUGAAAUCUCCCGGCUCAACUGGGAGGGUGCGCCGAAAACUGGAGGACUGGAGUACCGGAGAGGUAAGCGGAAUUCCAGGUGUAGCGGUGAAAUGCGUAGAUAUCUGGAGGAACACCGGUGGCGAAGGCGGCAUCCUGGACCAAUUCUGACGCUGAGACGCGAAAGCGUGGGGAGCAAACAGG